rnacentral:rRNA from 1 species
AACGAACGCUGGCGGCAGGCUUAACACAUGCAAGUCGAGCGGGCACUGGCGGGUUUCAGCGGCGGACGGGUGGGUAACGCGUGGGAACGUGAACUCGGGUUCGGAAUGACCCCGGGUUACUUGAGCUAAUAUCGGAUACGCCCUUUUGGGGAAAGGCUUGCUGCCGGGGGAUCGGCGCGCGUCUGAUGAGCUAGUUGGUGAGGUAACGGCUCGCCCAGGCGAGGAUCAGGAGCUGGUCUGAGAGGAUGAUCAGCCACACUGGGACUGAGACACGGCCCAGACUCCUACGGGAGGCAGCAGUGGGGAAUAAUGGACAAAGGGCGCAAGCCUGAUCCAGCCAUGCCGCGUGAGUGAUGAAGGCGUUAGGGUUGUAAAGCUCUUUUAUCCGGGACGAUAAUGACGGUACCGGAGGAAUAAGCCCCGGCUAACUUCGUG